AUCCUGGUUGUUAUAAGACUGAGGCAACAGUCCAUUAACAACCAUUUGUUAAGCAUGGUCAAAGAAAGCUGAAUUUAACAGCAGAAGUUCUGGGAUCAAAUUCAGCUUCUUCUCCCUACACACUUUGGAUACUUUACUUUCCCUCUCAAAUUCUGCCUCAGUCCCUAGCUCUGUGACCCUGGGCUUAGUCACAAACCCAGGGGAUACAAAGACAGAAACAAAACCAGAGCUGUCAUCCAGGAGCUAUCUAUCUAACCCUCAGAGACAGCAUGAAUAUUUAGACAGACAUAGAUGGACAGACAAACAGAUAGGUAGAUAGAUAGAUCAAUAGACAGGCAGACAGGAAGGAAGGAAGGAGGGAGGGAGGAAGGAAGGAAAGAAAGAAGGAAGAAAGGGAGGAAGGAAAGAAGAAAGGAAAGAGGGAGGAAGGAAGGAAAGAAGGAAGGAAGAAAGGAAAGAGGGAGGAAGGAAGAAAGGAAGGGAGGGAAGGAAAGAAAGAAGGAAGAAUAGAUAUUCAAUAGCCAGAUAGAUUCAGUAGACAGAUCUACAAAAUAGAAUAGGUACAAGAUGAUUUGGGGAGAGGGAAGGCAAGGAGCACCUGCUGGAAUCAGAAACUGCCUUGUGUGGCAUUUGAGCUGAUCUUUGAAUGAAAUUAAGUGCAAACAUGGAGUGCUAUGUAUGAAGAAUAGAAAGAAGGCCAUUUUGGUUGGACAGAACUGUGCAAGGAGGUGAGUAAUGUGAAACAAACUAGAAAGAAAAAUUGAGGCCACAUGGAAGAGUUUAUAUUUGAUCCUGCAGGUAACUGGGAGCCAUAGAGUAGGUGGAGUGACACAGAUUUGCAUUUCAAGAAAAUCAGUUGGAGGGGCAGCUAGGUGACACAGCAUAGGAAGAGUCCUUGUAACCUUGUUUUCCUCAUCUCAAGAUCCAGCCUUCCCUAUGGGUUAAUAAUUAUUGGGGAUAGGGGCUCCCAGCCUCUCCCUAGCCUCAGCUGCCUCUCGCCUGUCUUGGCUCCUGCUUGGCAGGCAAACUGAGCCCUUCAGCUUGGCCCCACCCCAUCUGUUAUUUUCCCAGGAACUAUAAAGCAAGAGACCUCAAGUGGGGCUCCUCCCAGUGGAAGCCAACUCUCCUCCACCUCCUGGGUGUUCUGGCGCCUCUGUAGCAGUUACUCCUCUCCGGCUCCCUUUGCCAUCAUCGCUGCCUUCCUCCAUUCACUGUCCUCCCCUUGCCCACAAUGUUACUCUGGCACAACCAACCAGAACAUCUGUGGCCCAGCCCAGGGGAGCUGUACCCCUGUCCCACUAGCAGUCUGCUCAGAGAGUCUCUGGCACUGCCUUACCUGAAGCAGGAGGACCCGUCCAGCAUUUCUACCUCAGACAUGCACUGUCCCGUCUUCCAGUAUGUCCUCUGUGCUGUCACCUCUCCUGCUGUCAAGCAACAUGAGGAGACCCUCACCUACCUGAACCAGGGGCAAUCCUACGAGGUCCGCAUGCUCUGUAACCCCAAACUGGGCGAUGUUUCCCAGUGGCCUCGCCUGCUGAAGAGUGUGGUACGUGUGGUUUUCCACGACCGCCGCCUGCAGUACACCGAACAACAGCAGCUAGAGGGCUGGCGGUGGAGUCGUCCGGGGGACAGGAUACUGGAUAUCGACGUGCCCCUAUCGGUGGGGGUGGUGGAGCCCCAGGUACUGCCCUCCUUCCUUAACACGGUGGAGUUUCUGUGGGACCCUGCCAAGAGGACAUCUCUCUUUUUGCAGGUUAAUUGCAUCAGUACAGAGUUCACUCCUCGGAAGAAUGGUGGGGAGAAGGGGGUCCCAUUCCGCAUCCAGAUCGACACCUUCAAACCAGGUGACAAGGGAAUGACCACAGAGCAUCUGCACUCAGCCAGCUGCCUUGUAAAAGUCUUCAAGCCUAAAGGGGCUGAUCGGAAGCAGAAAACAGACAGAGAGAAGAUUGAGAAGCAGCCACCACAAGAGAGAGAGAAGUACCAGCCAGCUUAUGAGACCACUGUCUUUACAGAGUGUUCACCAUGGCCUGAGACCUCCACUUGUCUUCAUGGUUCUCCCAGCCCUCCUGGCCUGACUUCUCCCCAUUCUUUCAAGUUCCUGACCCCAGAGAGGAUCUGUUCCUCCUCACCCUUCUCCCUGGACAGCUCAGUGGACAGCCCCGCCGAGGCUCUCAGCCCUGGGGCUUCUAUCUCAGAGACACAGCAGUGGUUACACCGUCAUCGCUUCUCUGGCUACUGUAGGAUGUUGGUCAACUUCAAUGGUGCAGAUCUGCUCAAACUCUCUCGUCAGGACCUCAUCCAGAUCUGUGGAGCAGCUGAUGGGAUCCGUCUCUCCAACAUCCUGAAGGCCAGGCCCAUUCGUCCUCGGCUUACCUUGUAUGUAUCUUCAGAGGCCCUGAAGCCGGGAAAUGAGACCCCACGGAAUCCAGAUUCAGGGUCUUACCAACAGGUGUAUCUGGAGGAGCUCAGCACUGUUGAACUGACUGGAAAACUGGCUGAACUCCUGUCUCUCCCAGCCAAUCAAAUCUACCGUCUCUUUCGAGAAGGCCCUACUGGCAUCCAUGUACUCAUCAGUGACCUGGUCGUCCAGAAUCUGGUAGAUGAAUCCUAUUUUGUGGCUGUGGUGAAGAAAGAAUCCAGAUGGCUACCACUUGUUUCUGAGUUAGGCUCUCAAUAGACUUUCCAGUCAAGACCAGAAGAAACAAAGCAUUGGGGACACAGCUACAUCAGGCCCUAAUUGUGACCAGAGAAUUGGUUAAAAAACCCCAAUACUUGAGACUGGUGCAUGUGUCAAACAGCUGUCACAAUGGCUUCUGCUCCUCUUUUCCUGGAGAACAGGGCAAACUUGGAAGGGAUUCAUUUCUAUUUGAAUUCGACACCGCUGCUAGAUCUGGUCCAACACUAAUUGAUGAGGAAACAGAGAAAGGUAAAGUUAAUUAUCCAAAGGUCAUGAAUGUCAAAACUGGGACCUGAAUUUGUCUCGACUCAAAAGUCAAGUCCUGCCUCCUCCAUCCCGCUACCUCUGAAGGUCAGAAAUCUUCCCCAUUCUAUGGGAGAACACUGAAAUGGAUGAGGAAAACUAAGAUAGGAAGGGAAGGCUUGGACUGGAUUUGUAGGCCAAACUUUCUCCUCCCCUUUUGUAACAGCCAGACAAGGAUAAAUACGUUUCUCACCUAAGGGCAAUGGUUUUACAGGGGACAGUGUGGAGGGAGGGAGGCUUUGCUAUUGCUGCUGACUGCCCAAUAUGCUCCUAAUUUUCACCACCCAUAAACCCUUUGGGAGAAGACUGGGGAAAAGGGCCCUUUUAUUUUCUGGUGUAGUUUUUAUUAGGAUAAGAAUUAUUGGAUUAUCCAUUCCCUGAGAAUAAAUCCAUGAAAGUCAGUCUCAGAACUUAAAUAAAAUGUACUUGAGCCAGUCACUCAGCCUCCUCUACAUUCCUAUUUCUAAAGCCCCUGAAAGUCAGGAACCACUCACUACUCAAUUCAGGUCAUUUCCGCAGCAAAAUGAAAAGUCUUCACAGCUUAUUUCCUUUAAUUACAUCAUAAAACAAAAUUAGAACAUACAUGAAACAAUAAUAGUUACAUAACAAUUUACUUUAUAUAUAUAUUUAUAUAUAAAAAAACCUUUUUUUUCCUUUUUUGAAAUCCAAAGAUUUCAUCAGAUGAAAGCAAAAGAAAUACUCUAUUGCAAACCCUGGAUUUUCUUUUCUUUUUUUUUUUUUAAAUAGCCCUCCCCCCAACCCUAGACCUUGAAAUAAUUGGGAGGAAAGAAACACAGCCAUGUGCACAGCUAAAGGAAUCUUGUAUUAAGUAAAAGUUAUCAUUUUGGGAACCAUGGCAGCCUCAAACAACUGGUUAAGAAAGCUUUGUGAAUGUACCUGGAGGAGAAAUAUUAAUUCAACAGCAACUCUCAGCACAUGAAAAAACACUCUGGGUAAAGGAUUCUGUGAAAUUUCAGGUGGCAGGAAUGUUUGGAAUCUGUUUCUUUCCAAUGGGGGAAUGAGGGGUAUGUUUGUGGGGGUGGUAGUGGUGGAAGGAGGUACUGAAACAUAUCCUGGUUUGGUGAAGAUGAACUACCUCCCAACAGCACCAUUUGUCUGCCUUUUGCCCCCAGAGGCUCUCCCCCAGCAGAAUUUCAUAGGCCCUGCACAAGAAAGGCCUCUCAGUCUAUGGCUCUUGGGGGACACUGUAAAAUGGGCAAAGGUGAACAGACUAGUUGGCUAGUGCAGAGUUGCCAGGCUUUUUAGGAACAACCUCCAGGAAGAGAGAAAAUAAAGCCAUAGCUGUCUUUGGGAAGUUAAACGUGGUAUGGUGAUAGAUAGGCUGACACCACUGACAUCCUCCUCUCUCACUUGCUAUUAUCUCUUCUAGAGCUCAUUAAAAAAGGAGGAAGUAGGGGCUAGCUUGGACAUGUUUUCCUCAGGGCAGGAGACUUCAAGAAGCUGCUUUAGGUAGGUCUUGUAAACAUGCCAGUUGGCUCGAAAAGGAUAAGAGGUUAGUGUUUCAUUGAAAAAACAUCAGAGUUCAGGCUUACCUCUCCUCAUCAAGCCCCCUGGUCACUCAGAAAGUAACAGCCAAGUGACAUAUAAAAGAACUUAUUUGAGGUGGGGGUGGGGGGAGUAUUGGCUAUGGGUAUGGGGAGAAGGGUUUGGGACAGAGGAAUAACAUCCUAAUACACAAACCCAGGAAAAUAGCAGCAAAAGUUUUGCUCAUUACAGUGUUAUAUAGCACAAAGGAAGAAAACAACUCAAAUAUUAAUUUUAAAAAGUAUAACUGGUCAAAUCAUGCCAGUUAGCUCUUGAAAGUAGGGCUUAAGACUUUAUUUUCUCAUCCUCCAGUGCCUUACAAAGAGUAACAAGCAUUAUUUCAGGGGCCAAGAAAUCAGGGCCAAGAUAAGAAACACAUACGUGUGUACAGACACACCUAUAUGUACAUGAGCAGCAGUUGUGUGGGUUUGAGAACAGUGUCGGUAGGCAAGAGAAGCUGCUGUGGGAGAAAUGUUUGGGGCAGUUUUCUUCUGGGACACUACAUCUCUUUUAAAGACUUCUUAGGGCCCUUAGAGGAAAGCAUGGACAUGGCUUUAAAAAAAAUCUUUCAGAAGGUAGCAUACUGUGAGGAUUAGCCAACCUACAUUCUUCCAGAUCCCAAAGUAGGAAGCUCCCAACUGCCACCUAUUUCAAUUGUACCAAUUUUGACACAGCUAGGACUUAUAGGGAAAUAUCACUUGAUUAGCAAUCCCUUCUAACCUCCAACAUAUAGACUGGAGAGCCAAACAAACAAACAAAAAAAAGAAAUCAAGGAGGAGAGGGAAUGAAAUUAUUAUUAUUCAUUAAUAACUUUAGUAUGAAACGGACAAAUGGGUUGGUGGGGUAGGAAAAAGGAAAUAAUCACAAAGUAGGAAAAUUAUCUACAAUUUGAUGAUAUUGGGUGUUUCCAGGCCAGGAACUGACCCAAAGAGUAGAUUCUUCUACCCUAAGGCAAGACACCCUAACAGUCAUUUGCUCCUUUCCUUAACUUAAUGCUUCCCCAACCAAAACAAAAAUAAACAAAAAGCACAAACCCAAUGCAAAAGACUCUAGAAGAUAGUCAUACUACAAAUGACCAUAUGGCAAUUUUUUUUACAGAAUCUGAAGACUCACAUGGGUUUAUCAAUCCUGGUGGCCCCUACAAUGAUGCAGCCAAGAAGACACUGUGGUUUAGUUAUAGUUUGAAAUGUGACUAUACAUCAUAUACAUACAUAAAGAAGCCAGAAAUGAAAGUAACAUAACUUUUUAAUACCACAUCUAUGUGCAAUUAUAAUGAAGCCGCUUGCUGCUGAAAUUUAAAUGGGACUCCAUUGGGACACAAUGUAUAGAUUUGGGAUUAGUUCCUGAAAUUCUCUAGCACAAAGUCCCAAAGUUGAGAUGACAGUUAUAAAGAGCAGAAAUGAGGAAAUAAUACUGAGAAAUGAGGAACUCUGAAAAGAAUACCAUGCUAAGAACUCAUUGUGUCCCAAUGGAGACCUUUGGAGUUAUCAGACCUCACUGGGCAGUUCUGCUUCAAGAUCUACAUCUCAGACACUUUAUUUUUGCCCAAAGGUUCUAUAAUCAACAGAUUUGAGGGACACAAGGCAGAACAGCUAAGUAGUUGAUGGAGGAGACAAUCUUUCUGAAAAGCUUCAGAAGCUCCUACAGAUCAUCUGUUAGCAGAGGGACACAAUGAAAAUUGAUAUCCUCAUCACCCAUAUUCUCAUUCUACCCUUCAAUAAUGGUUGCACAACAUUUAUUUUUUCCAAUCUAUCCCUAUGGUGGAGUAAUUAAUGAUAGAGGUCUAUGGGGUAGCAGCAGCGAUUUAGAUAGUGGCCAGGGCUCAAUCAUAAUGCAUUAAUAACUUUCCCUCCUUACAACCCCCUCCAACCCCUCUCCCCAACAACAAAAAGAAAUCUUCCAAAAGUUUAUUAAAUUUCUUGACACACUGUUGAUAGGGAUAAAAAAAGCAAAUAAGGACACACAGAUGUUCCCCAUUACAGCUUAUAAUACCCAAAAUGCUGCUGUUUCCCCAUCAUUCAACUUCAAGGUACUUUUUUAAAAAUCUUACCUUUAAACCCCCUCCCUGUCCUACAAUUGGUGCAUUUUCUAUAUUUUAAAUUCUGGUUAAUUUGGUAUCACUAUAGUUAUACUUUAAUGUUCAGCGGGGGACACAAUCGGGAUGAAGAUUGCAUAAAAAUAUUUCAGAGGAAUCUUUCUGGAAUAUAUGAUUAAAAGAACAUGUAACAAGUUUCUGACUUUGUAUCUGAUAAAAUAAGUCUAAUGGAUGUGGAGAUUAUUGGAAAUGUACAAAGAUUAUUUAAAAAUCUCUUUAACAUAGCAGUAUCCCAAAAUAUCAUGUUAGAGAUGAAAUUAGAAUAGAAGGAAAUAACAUAUAGAGAAAUAAGAGUACAAUGUACUUUCAUAUUCAUCAUAGUUCUAAUAUUGCAAAGAAAAACAAGACUGAAGCCAGAAACCCUUUCUCCUAGGAUAAAUCCAAUGAAAGGCUUGCUUUCAAGCUUAUUCUAACUCAACAAGCAAACCUGAGACCUAAUGAAAAAUGGUCUAACUCACCAGAGAAUGGCAGAGUCCAAAUUUGGUCAGUUUUUUUUUUUAUUUUUUUGCGAAGAAUAAAUUGGAGGGAAAGGCAUUAGAGACAACUGACAUGACUUUAGUACUGUUGGGAUGUGGCAGAAAUUUUAUUUAGAGUGGAAAAGGGGCAAUGGCUUAAAAAAAAAAGUCUUGAGAAGAAGUAUAGAAAUAAAAUCAGGAAGAGGGCCUUACUUGGUUAAAGUUUGGAGGGAUGGUGAUAGGUAGAAAAGAACAAUCAGAAAAUUCAUGACUGACAUUCAUGAAUUCACUUCAGUUGGAAUAGCACCAAUGUCUCCUGGCUUAUGAUAACUUAGUUGGGUAGGGUUUCUUUUUGCCCUGAAACCAAUUCUGUAAGGAGAAGAACUCUUGAGUUAUUCAAGAUCCUGUGUUCUCUACUACAAGUGGUAACUAAGAGGGCCAGCAAAAACAGGCGAAUGGCCUGCCACAUGUUUAAGAGGAAGAAGGAUUUGGCCUAAGACCUUUUAAGAUCAUAGUCAUUGAUAGGAUUUUACGUUAUGGGUGAAUGAGAAAAAUGAUCAAUUCACACUUCUUUCCAAUCAAGGUAAGAUCAUUACAUCUUAUGUUUUUAAAAGUUAUGAUAGCCUUCUCCAAGUCUUUAGGGUUUAGUUGAAUGAAGGCAAAGGGAUUCUCUUUAUAAUCAUUCUGAAGCAUUCUAAUGAGAAUUCUUUCCAAGCUUGAAAGGAUCACAGUUGUCACCAAAAAUAAGUAAAGUCUAAAUCCUAAUGCUUAAAGCAUUAAAUUAAAUUGGCCAGUGCAACCCAUUAUAGACUUAAAACAAUAUACCAGAAGCUUCAUUCAAGAUCUCUUCCCCAUGAUUCCUAAGAGACUGGCACUCUCCUUUCUACAGCAAGGCAUACCAGAUCAAGACAAAUCAGUCCUAAUCUGCACCUGAGACAGAUUUCCAUAGUUAGAACUUACUGAAUUAGGAGAAGUUAUGCCCCUGAAAAGGAAUAAUUUUGAUUUGGGGGUAAGUGUUUCAAAUUGACAUCUGUUCAGAAUGUGCCUUGGAUGGCCUAAUAAGGUCCACUGCUACCACCCACUUCCACAUUCUUCCUUCUCUCCUCCCCCAGUGGACUGGUAAGGAAUUUUAUGGUCCUAAACAAUGAACCGGAACAGACCUGAACAAUAAGCAUUUUUUCUGAAAAAGGGCCUUGAAUAUGAUGUUACUAUUAGUUUUCAGCAUCCCUUUCCCCAUUACACUUUAAAAAAUUUAAUACAAAGAUGUCAUCAGCUAUGGUAAUGAAACUACCAAAUCUGCUGAAUCAGUCACUUUACAAACUUGGUUAAGUUUUGUUAAUUUUUUUUAGGUAUUCCCAAAAUGAGGAACUGGGAAGAGAGAAAGUUCUUUGAGGUUCUGAGCAAAAUAAGAUCAAAAUCAAAAUUAAACACAAUAAAAAUGGUGGGUAAUGUCAUAGGCUCCUUCCUAGCACUCUCAUCUACGGAUGCCUUUCUAAUCAAUGAAGAAAAAAGACCCAGUUUAGUUCAACAUAUGCUGGUGGUCUUACAAGAGAGCCAUCACCUGAAAUGGGAAAAAUUACCCUUGGAGCUGCUUAGAUCAGUUAGAAGAUGACAAAAGUCUAUCUUGACUGAAAAAGCAAACUCCUGUAAACCAACAAUAAAAAGCUCCAAAUCUGAAGGUCUAGAAAUCUGUUACUUGUGCUUUAGAAAAUUAACUCCUUUUCCCAACCUCCCCCAAUUUUUCUGCACAAGAGUACAGUAUUAUUCCCAUCAGAUACUAGAUGUGGAGGGUCAUGCUCUGUUGUUAAUUCUUUUAAUCAUGAGCACUGAACAUCUUUCUCUCUCAUUCUCAAGCACAAUGUGUAAGUAGGGCCAAAGACCACCCCCAUCUGUACUAAUUAUCUUAGGCCUUGUGGAGGCUAUUCCCAGAAUUCUCAAGAGUCCAACCCCACAUGACUCUCUGGAGAGUAUAUCAACAAAAGACUGUGGGUGACCUCUUUGAAAAGGAUCUGCUGGUCCUUUGAACUACCAACAUCAGACCUAAAAUUGGUGACCCUAAAUUCAAAUAGCCACACACGACUAUCAUAGGGCUCAAGUUGGUGAAGGUGUUGGGGGUGGAGAAAGUGGGAGGAGAAGAAGAGACAGAUAAGAAGAAUUGGCAGCACAAACAGCAAUGUUUCAUCUACCAGUAUUCUGAGACAAAACACUUGGCCAUCAUGAAAAUUUGCAAUGUUGUUAAACUUAUGUAAAUCUCAGUUCACAGCAUGACAUUCAAAGAGGGGCCAGGGGUUUUUAGGCUAAGGGUUGGCAUUUUCCCCAAUCAAUUCUGCUCUAAAAACACCACUCUCUUUCAUGCCUUAUGCAAGACACUCAAGUGAUUAAUGGGAUUCAGCUCAAGAAAACAUAGGGAGCAUGACGUUAUUGCACAUAGCCACCUAUGUCUCAUAGGUCACAAAACUAUGUUCUCUUAAGGAGGAACUCACAAGGCAAAAACCUGAGUUGUUCCCAUAAAGAAGGGGCAAGAGCUUAGAUUCAGCUCAUUUCCCCUCAUCUGCUCUUUAGAGCUUCUCAGACAGCCUCAGGCAGUCUUUCUAAUGAUAAAAAAGUGGAAUUUUAAAACAUUUUUACCAAUAAAUAACUUUUCUUUAAAAAGUAUCCAGUAGCCUCAACCUAAGUCACCCCAAAUGGAAAACUUUAAAUUGGAAGACAGCAGGUGAGCAGGCAAGAGACAGUAUGGAAAGAAUGCUUUAGCAAACAACACAAAGAAAAAAUUUAGACAUGGACGCAGACCAACACACAGAAAACAGCUAGGGAGAACCACACAAUGAAUAAGUGAACAAAAGAAACAACUUUGGAUAUCAGAGAUUUCAAGUUAAAUCACUGUGACCAUCUAGGAAAUCUCUGAACUGAAUAUUCUAACUGAUGAGCCUUCGAUAUGAGCAUGCUCAGCAUGUUGGUAUGCAAACAAGGAAGUAGAGAAGCAUUGUAAUACAGUCUCUUGAUGGAUGGCUGCCAUCUUCAUUCUCUCAUGGGAGGAAGGAUUUUUCUUUCUGGUCCCUGGAUGCAACAUUUACUGUAUUUGUCCAUACUCUCCUUCUCUUUGGAGAGCUCUCAUUAGUGUUCUCACAUCCCCAAAAGAAACCCCAAACCAAAAGAACAAACAAAUCCCAGCAGCAGUGAACCUGGGUUUGCUGGAACGCCCCCCACCUUGGACUGUGAUUCUCUUCUGAGCAUGCCCAGUAGGAAUGGUUUUAAGUUACACCAAUCUACCUGUCAGAAAAAAGCCAACACAGAUUCAAAGUCCCACUGUCACAGAGUACAUCAGCUGGAGUGGACGGUGUGGGUGUUUAUGCAUGUGUAUGUGUGGCUUGGGGGAUCCGGACACAGCCCUCUAUUCUGGCCCUUGCUCAGAACACUGGGGUCGAUUCCGCUGGAGAGACUCCGUGGUAACUCUAGAAGUGUCAUUAAAUACUUAGUUCGCCAAGGCUGACCACCUCCAAUGUCAUAGAAUGAUGCAGCAUCUGCAGAAGCGUUGUCUGCUGCCCCCUACUGAUGGAGGCGGAGUGACAGGUGCAAAGUACCUCUGACCUGGAGGUGAGAAGCCAUUCAAGCUAUGUUCAAGCCAUCUCAUCCCCAGGUUGCUGAAUAUUUAACAUUCACAGUAGAGUACAAUUCGCAGAGGACAUCUCAGCUUCUGCAUGUCAGUUAUCUCAGUCUCCAAGCUGGCGCAGGAUAUGUUUAACAUUUCCAACUCCUCCCUUAUCUUCCCCUUCAUUUAGGUCUUCCCUUGGCACUCUAUAAGUAGGCAAUUUGGAGGGGGAAAAAAAACCUCUUUCCAAAAACGCAGCUAAUUUAUGCAUCGUUCUCAUGAAAGCAAAUUCAUGGUACUGGUCCUGAAGAAGAGACACGCAGAUCAAACUCACCAACACCUGAAGUCUUGGACAGUGUAUAGAGAGUUGAAUUAAUGUGCUAUCUGUUAUCUGAAAGAAACAUAGGAAUAAAUCUUUCUUAGAUUUCUUUCUUUUUUAA